rnacentral:rRNA from 1 species
GACGAACGCUGGCGGCGUGCUUAACACAUGCCAGUCGAACGGAAAGGCCCUGCUUUUGUGGGGUGCUCGAGUGGCGAACGGGUGAGUAACACGUGAGUAACCUGCCCUUGACUUUGUGAUAACUUCAGGAAACUGGGGCUAAUACCGGAUAGGAGCUCCUGCUGCACGGUGGUGGUUGGAAAGUUUCGGCGGUUGGGGAUGGACUCGCGGCUUAUCAGCUUGUUGGUUGGGUAGUGGCUUACCAAGGCUUUGACGGGUAGCCGGCCUGAGAGGGUGACCGGAAACAAUGGGACUGAGAGACGGACCAGACUGCAACGGGAGGCAGCAGUGGGGAAUAUUGCACAAUGGGCGGAAGCCUGAUGCAGCAACGCCGCGUGCGGGAUGACGGCCUUCGGGUUGUAAACCGAUUUCGCCUGUGACGAAGCGUGAGUGACGGUAAUGGGUAAAGAAGCACCGGCUAACUACGUG